AUACGGAGGAUCCGAGCGUUAUCCGGAUUUAUUGGGUUUAAAGGGAGCGUAGGCGGACGCUUAAGUCAGUUGUGAAAGUUUGCGGCUCAACCGUAAAAUUGCAGUUGAUACUGGGUGUCUUGAGUACAGUAGAGGCAGGCGGAAUUCGUGGUGUAGCGGUGAAAUGCUUAGAUAUCACGAAGAACUCCGAUUGCGAAGGCAGCUUGCUGGACUGUAACUGACGCUGAUGCUCGAAAGUGUGGGUAUCAAACAGGAUUAGAUACCCUGGUAGUCCACACAGUAAACGAUGAAUACUCGCUGUUUGCGAUAUACAGUAAGCGGCCAAGCGAAAGCGUUAAGUAUUCCACCUGGGGAGUACGCCGGCAAGGUUGAAACUCAAAUGAAUUGGCGGGG
rnacentral:rRNA from 1 species